rnacentral:lncRNA from 1 species
AUGAACCUCAUUAACUAUGUGAAACUCUCGAGUACUUUGUAUCUCUUCUCUCCCCCUACAAAAAAAUUAAAAAGCAAAGAUUACAUUUCAGAAAGGUCCCUUCAGAACAAAUCUUUAAAAUUGUGCCUUUACCCUCCACUGGUUCUUCAGAUCAGUGUUUUAUUUCAAGAACUGUUGCUCGUUGCUCAAGGCAGUUUACAAAAAGUAAAUUUCCUGGGUGACCACACGCUCAAUCCCCAUGGUGAUAAGAGACCUGCACCCUCUUGGGGCUCUGCUCAGGACUGGCCUGGCUCAUCCACACAAGAUUGCUUUGCUUUUCUCUCUAUUGCACGUUCUUUGAGCAGAACCCAGGAUUCCUGUGAUCUAUCCAGAGGCAGCAGCCAGGCAAGGGCAUGGCUAAGCUCUGCCCACCCACUGAAAGACUAUAUCUUGGGCUUGUCCUGUUACCGGAUUCAGAAAAAUUGAAGAAACCUAAGGCUAUAGGCAAGACCGUCUGAGUAAGCAGGUGAGUUGAUCAACACAGGGAAAGGGCAAAGUUUUUAAAGAAAAUUUAAGUUAAUAUCAAUCUGAUGUCUGGAUGUGGAAUGACUUCCUGAGCAUAAUAGCGAUGGAAGGAAUCACGAAGAGAAAUAUCAAUGCAUUUGACUACUUUAAAAUGAAGAACUUUCAUAUGUUCAGAAUAUCAUAAACACAAUUAAAUGCCAAACAGGAAUGAUAUUUAGCCACCAAUAGGCACAGAAAAAU